rnacentral:rRNA from 1 species
AUGGCGGAGAGCGACGGCGGCGAGGCGGACCCCGGCGCCGGCCGCGACGACCCGGCCCCGCGCCCGCAGCGGCCGCAGCUCGCCAAAUCGCGCACCAUCGCCGGCUCCGCCACCGCGGCCGCCGCCGCCUCCGCCGAGAUAAGGCGGGGCGGGAGGGACGGCGGCAUCCUCGCCCGCCGCUCGACCACAACGGCGGCGGCGCCCCUCCCGCAGGUGCCCAGGCGGCUCACCGUCGCCGUGGACGACCCCUCCCACGCGGCGCCCAACGCCGGCGUGCUCGACCGCGACUGGUGCUACCCGUCCUUCCUCGGCCCGCACGCCUCGCGCCCGCGCCCGCCGCGCCAGCAGCAGACGCCGCCGCCCGCCGCCGCCGCCGCCGCCCCCGCCCGCCGGAACCCUAGCAGCAAUCCCGCCACCACGCGGAGGGUGGCGGCCUCGCAGCGGGACGAGGAGAAGUCCCUGGCCUCCGUGGUCAAGCAGUCCGCGCUGCUCGGGGAGAGGAGGCCGCUCUCGCCUCCGCCCCCGCCGCCGCCGCGCGCUCGCGGAUUCGAUCUCUCGCCGUACUGCCUCCUGCUAUUGCUGGUUGUAACCGUCACAAGCUCUUCCCUGGCCUUCUGGCAGUGGAUGAAAGUGCUGGGACUCCAGGAAAAGGUCAGAUCAUGCAGUGGUGGUGCUGAUGCUGUGGACAGUGAGGAAACUGCUGAGACAUCCUGGGUUCUGGGGGACCCUGGUUCCGGCUUUGUUAGCUCCGAGAGCUGGAAAUUAGCUCCGAUGUUUGCUGUGGCAAUACCGAUAUUCCUUUUUAAAUACGCUGACCAGCUGCGGCGUAAGAAAGAAAAUUCCAGCAGGGCGAGAAGCACCGAGGAAGAAGUGCCUCUCGAGAAGCGGAUUGCUUACAAGGUUGAUGUGUUCUUCUCAGGGCAUCCGUAUGCGAAGCUGCUUGCCCUCCUGAUCGCCACUGUAGUUCUCAUCGCCUCGGGCGGCAUUGCGCUGUAUUCUGUCAGUGGCAGUGGGUUCCUGGAGGCUCUUUGGCUUUCUUGGACUUUUGUGGCAGAUUCAGGAAACCAUGCUGACCAGGUUGGCCUCGGUCCAAGGAUUGUGUCCGUGUCGAUUAGUGCCGGUGGCAUGCUGGUGUUUGCCACGAUGCUCGGGCUUGUGUCAGAUGCCAUAUCGGAGAAGGUAGAUUCUUGGCGUAAGGGGAAAAGCGAGGUGAUAGAGGUCAACCAUAUACUAAUCCUCGGAUGGAGCGACAAGCUGGGCUCUCUUCUGAAGCAGCUAGCUAUAGCGAAUAAAAGCAUUGGUGGUGGUGUAGUUGUUGUCCUGGCAGAAAGAGACAAGGAAGAGAUGGAGAUGGACAUAGGAAAGCUAGGAUUUGACUUCAUGGGAACAUCUGUAAUAUGUAGAAGCGGCAGUCCUCUAAUCCUAGCAGAUCUGAAGAAGGUUUCUGUUUCCAAAGCACGUGCUAUUAUUGUUUUAGCAUCUGAUGAAAAUGCAGACCAAAGUGAUGCACGAGCUUUGCGUGUCGUACUGAGCCUGACUGGAGUAAAAGAGGGCUUAAGGGGGCAUAUUGUUGUAGAGAUGAGUGACCUUGACAAUGAACCUUUGGUGAAAUUGGUUGGAGGUGAACUAAUUGAAACAGUUGUUGCCCAUGAUGUCAUUGGACGUUUGAUGAUACAGUGUGCACUCCAACCUGGCUUGGCACAGAUAUGGGAGGAUAUUUUGGGAUUCGAAAAUGCAGAGUUCUAUAUAAAAAGAUGGCCAGAAUUGGAUGGCAUGCGGUUUGGGGAUGUGUUAAUCUCAUUCCCUGAUGCUGUGCCCUGUGGAGUGAAGCUUGCGUCAAGAUUUGGAAGUAUAUUAAUGAAUCCGGAUGAUGAUUAUGUUUUAAGAGAAGGUGAUGAGAUCCUUGUUAUAGCAGAAGAUGAUGAUACUUAUGCACCUGCUCCUCUACCAGAGGUGCAUAAGGGUUUUCUACCUAACGUUCCCACCCCUCCUAAAUAUCCAGAGAAAAUUUUGUUCUGUGGUUGGCGACGUGACAUCCACGAUAUGAUAAUGGUUCUAGAAGCAUUUCUUGCUCCAGGUUCUGAAUUGUGGAUGUUCAAUGAGGUGCCAGAGAAGGCGAGGGAGACAAAACUGACUGACGGUGGUAUGGAUAUUCUUGGACUAACAAACAUUAAACUUGUACACAAAGAAGGGAAUGCUGUCAUCAGGCGGCACUUAGAAAGCUUGCCUCUUGAGACCUUUGAUUCUAUUUUAAUUCUUGCAGAUGAGUCAGUGGAGGACUCCAUUGUACAAUCAGAUUCACGGUCCUUAGCUACACUUCUUCUAAUUCGUGACGUUCAGUCCAAACGUCUUCCGUCGAAGGAGUCAAAAUCACCUCUACAUCACAAUGGCUUCUCUCACAGCUCCUGGAUUCGGAAGAUGCAGCAUGCAUCGGACAAAUCAAUAAUAAUCAGUGAGAUACUGGACUCAAGAACUAGAAACCUUGUAUCUGUCUCCAAAAUCAGCGAUUACGUCCUGUCAAAUGAACUUGUCAGUAUGGCAUUAGCAAUGGUAGCAGAAGACAAGCAAAUCAACAGAGUUCUUGAGGAACUUUUUGCUGAGGAGGGCAACGAGAUGUGCAUACGGUCUGCUGAGUUUUACCUGUACGAACAAGAGGAGUUGAGUUUCCUGGACAUAAUGGUGAGGGCUCGUGAGAGAGACGAGAUUGUGAUCGGCUACCGGCUCGCAAACACCGAUGAGGCAAUCAUUAAUCCAGAGCACAAGUCGGAGAUUAAGAAGUGGUCUCUGGACGACGUGUUUGUUGUGAUCGCGAAAGCUGAUAGAAACGAUAACCGGGCAAAGCAUAUGUUGAAGUACAGUUGUGAUCUCAUCUCACCUGAGACAUUGGCACUGAACAUGUCGGUUCCUGUCGUCUCCGUGGCAUUCAGUUCACCUCAACGUAGGUAA